AGGGAUCGGUAUAAUAACGUCAGGUAAAGUAAAAACAUGAUUGCAGGCGUUAACAUUACUUCAAAGCAGGUUAAUGGCAAAUAAAUUAAAAACAAAGUUUAACUUGACCUGAUCUAAUACAAAACAAGCAAAAGAUAAUGGAUUUUAAAUAUUUACAGGGUGUUAAUGAUGCAGUUACCUGAUGUUCUUAAAUAAAAGUACACAAUGCACAAAGAUAGAAUUUAGAUUAUUUGAAGGUUGCACCAUAUUGAUUGGAUUGUGGAAAAUGCAUCAAAUCAAAAUGAUUCUGAUAACAGAAGGAAAUAAAAAUAUAUAUGAAUUUGAUAUUGGUGAUGAAGAUAAAGAUAUCAUGAUUUUAUCAAGAUCGUUUUAAAAAUAACUUUAAUUUUGUAUAAGUUAUUGUUCUAAAAAUGUAUAAAUUA